rnacentral:rRNA from 1 species
CGAGUCAUUACCGAAGUGCGGGUCCUUUGGGCCCAACCUCCCAUCCGUGUCUAUUGUACCCUGUUGCUUCGGCGGGCCCGCCGCUUGUCGGCCGCCGGGGGGGCGCCUCUGCCCCCCGGGCCCGUGCCCGCCGGAGACCCCAACACGAACACUGUCUGAAAGCGUGCAGUCUGAGUUGAUUGAAUGCAAUCAGUUAAAACUUUCAACAAUGGAUCUCUUGGUUCCGGCAUCGAUGAAGAACGCAGCGAAAUGCGAUAACUAAUGUGAAUUGCAGAAUUCAGUGAAUCAUCGAGUCUUUGAACGCACAUUGCGCCCCCUGGUAUUCCGGGGGGCAUGCCUGUCCGAGCGUCAUUGCUGCCCUCAAGCCCGGCUUGUGUGUUGGGUCGCCGUCCCCCUCUCCGGGGGGACGGGCCCGAAAGGCAGCGGCGGCACCGCGUCCGAUCCUCGAGCGUAUGGGGCUUUGUCACAUGCUCUGUAGGAUUGGCCGGCGCCUGCCGACGUUUUCCAACCAUUCUUUCCAGGUUGACCUCGGAUCAGGUAGGGAUACCCGCUGAACUUAAGCAUAUCAAUAAGCGGAGGAAAAGAAACCAACCGGGAUUGCCUCAGUAACGCAGGGGGAAA